AGAUUGAACGCUGGCGGCAUGCCUAACACAUGCAAGUCGAACGGGAGUAGCAAUACUCUAGUGGCGGACGGGUGAGGAAUACGUAGGAAUUUGCCCUUAAGUGGGGGAUAACCCGGGGAAACCCGGAUUAAUACCGCAUGACCUCGAAAGAGCAAAGUGGGGGAUCGCAAGACCUCACGCUUUUGGAGAAGCCUACGUCGGAUUAGCUAGUUGGUGAGGUAAUGGCUCACCAAGGCGACGAUCCGUAACUGGUCUGAGAGGAUGAUCAGUCACACCGGAACUGAGACACGGUCCGGACUCCUACGGGAGGCAGCAGUGGGGAAUAUGGACAAUGGGCGCAAGCCUGAUCCAGCCAUGCCGCGUGGUGGGAAGAAGGCCUUCGGUUAGUAAACCUACUUUCGGCCGUAGGGAACGGAAACGGACUAC
rnacentral:rRNA from 1 species